CCUUGAUGUGUAGGAUAGGUGGGAGGCUUUGAAGCGUGGACGCCAGUCUGCGUGGAGCCGACCUUGAAAUACCACCCUUUAAUGUUUGAUGUUCUAACGUGGACCCGUAAUCCGGGUUGCGGACAGUGUCUGGUGGGUAGUUUGACUGGGGCGGUCUCCUCCUAAAGAGUAACGGAGGAGCACGAAGGUUGGCUAAUCCUGGUCGGACAUCAGGAGGUUAGUGCAAUGGCAUAAGCCAGCUUGACUGCGAGCGUGACGGCGCGAGCAGGUGCGAAAGCAGGUCAUAGUGAUCCGGUGGUUCUGAAUGGAAGGGCCAUCGCUCAACGGAUAAAAGGUACUCCGGGGAUAACAGGCUGAUACCGCCCAAGAGUUCAUAUCGACGGCGGUGUUUGGCACCUCGAUGUCGGCUCAUCACAUCCUGGGGCUGAAGUAGGUCCCAAGGGUAUGGCUGUUCGCCAUUUAAAGUGGUACGCGAGCUGGGUUUAGAACGUCGUGAGACAGUUCGGUCCCUAUCUGCCGUGGGCGCUGGAGAACUGAGGGGGGCUGCUCCUAGUACGAGAGGACCGGAGUGGACGCAUCACUGGUGUUCGGGUUGUCAUGCCAAUGGCACUGCCCGGUAGCUAAAUGCGGAAGAGAUAAGUGCUGAAAGCAUCUAAGCACGAAACUUGCCCCGAGAUGAGUUCUCCCUGAGACUUAGAGUCUCCUGAAGGAACGUUGAAGACGACGACGUUGAUAGGCCGGGUGUGUAAGCGCAGCGAUGCGUUGAGCUAACCGGUACUAAUGAACCGUGAGGCUUAACCUUAC
rnacentral:rRNA from 1 species